rnacentral:rRNA from 1 species
ACUCGAGUGGCGAACGGGUGAGUAACACGUGGGUGAUCUGCCCUGCACUUCGGGAUAAGCCUGGGAAACUGGGUCUAAUACCGGAUAGGAGCUCCUGCUGCAUGGUGGGGGUUGGAAAGUUUCGGCGGUUGGGGAUGGACUCGCGGCUUAUCAGCUUGUUGGUGGGGUAGUGGCUUACCAAGGCUUUGACGGGUAGCCGGCCUGAGAGGGUGACCGGCCACAUUGGGACUGAGAUACGGCCCAG